UACGUAGGGGGCAAGCGUUGUCCGGAUUUAUUGGGCGUAAAGAGCGUGUAGGCGGCCAUACAGGUCAGCUGUGAAAACUCGAGGCUCAACCUCGAGACGUCGGUUGAAACCGUAUGGCUAGAGUCCGGAAGAGGAGAGUGGAAUUCCCGGUGUAGCGGUGAAAUGCGCAGAUAUCGGAAAGAACACCAACGGCGAAAGCACUCUGCUGGGCCGACACUGACACUGAGAGACGAAAGCUAGGGGAGCGAAUGGG
rnacentral:rRNA from 1 species